ACGAUGAAGAGUUUGAUCCUGGCUCAGGAUGAACGCUAGCGGCAGGCUUAACACAUGCAAGUCGAGGGGUAGAUAGGGGCUUGCCUUUAUUGAGACCGGCGCACGGGUGAGUAACGCGUAUGGAAUCUGCCUUGUACAGGGGAAUAGCCCAGGGAAACUUGGAUUAAUGCCCCAUAGUAUUACGAGACGGCAUUGUUUUGUAAUUAAAGAUUUAUCG
rnacentral:rRNA from 1 species